rnacentral:misc_RNA from 1 species
GAUGAAGAACGCAGCGAAAUGCGAUAAGUAAUGUGAAUUGCAGAAUUCAGUGAAUCAUCGAAUCUUUGAACGCACCUUGCGCCCUUUGGACAUUCCGAAGGGCAUGCCUGUUUGAGUAUCAUGAACACCUCAACUCUCACGGCUUGUCCGUGAUGAGCUUGGACUUUGGGGGUCUUGCCGGCCUGUGGUCGGCUCCUCUCAAAUGGAUCAGCUUGCCAGUGUUUGGUGGCAUCACAGGUGUGAUAACUAUCUGCGCUUGUGGUUUUCCAUCAGAUAACCUUCAGUGAUAUGGAGGUUCGCUGGAGCUCACAAAUGUCUCUCCUUAGUGAGGACAGCUCUUUGAACGUUUGAUCUCAAAGCAGGUAGGACUACCCGCUGAACUUAAGCAUAUCAAUAAGCGGAGGA